UAAACACAGGAACAGUGAUCUGACA
rnacentral:piRNA from 1 species